CUGCUUCCAAUUGUCUUACCAUUAGAAACCAUUUCCCACUCUCUUUCAAAUGGAUAGGCUGAUGGCAAAACAGAAGUUGUUCCAGAAGAUUCACUCUCAUUUAAGUAUUUCACUUCCAGGGAUGAACUAUUUCUCCCAGUUGAGGCCUGAAUUGUUUUGCUCGUGUCAAGACUUUCUUCUGUUGGAAGUGAGGUUACAAUCUCGUUGUCAUCUUUGUAAACAAUCCCAGGUUCUAUAACUGCAGCCAUUGUUGCAGUGACUGAAAUGCUCACAUCUACAGACUCACUGGAUUCAUGAACAGGGAAACUAGAAGAAUCCCAUGAAGAAUCAGAAUUCUCUUUUAACUCUGAGCUAGGCAGUCCCCCUUUGUGGUCAGUGAAAGGAUUUGUUGUAUUCAACAAAUCUGCAGUUUCACCAUUGACCAAAUUUUGCUCAAUUCCUGAAAUUGA
rnacentral:misc_RNA from 1 species